rnacentral:rRNA from 1 species
CACGUAGGCACCAAGCGUUGUCCGGAUUUACUGGGCGUAAAGAGCUCGUAGGCGGUUUGUUGCGUCGGCUGUGAAAUCCCGAGGCUCAACCUCGGGUCUGCAGUCGAUACGAGCAAACUAGAGUGUUGCAGGGGAGACUGGAAUUCCUGGUGUAGCGGUGAAAUGCGCAGAUAUCAGGAGGAACACCGGUGGCGAAGGCGGGUCUCUGGGCAACAACUGACGCUGAGGAGCGAAAGCGUGGGGAGCGAACAGG